AUUGAACGCUGGCGGCAUGCCUUACACAUGCAAGUCGAACGGCAGCGGGGGAGAAGCUUGCUUUUCCUGCCGGCGAGUGGCGAACGGGUGAGUAAUACAUCGGAACGUGCCCUGUAGUGGGGGAUAACUAGUUGAAAGAUCAGCUAAUACCGCAUACGCCCUGAGGUUGAAAGUGGGGGACCGCAAGGCCUCAUGCUAUAGGUGCGGCCGAUGUCUGAUUAGCUAGUUGGUGGGGUAAAGGCCUACCAAGGCGACGAUCAGUAGCUGGUCUGAGAGGACGAUCAGCCACACUGGGACUGAGACACGGCCCAGACUCCUACGGGAGGCAGCAGUGGGGAAUUUUGGACAAUGGGCGAAAGCCUGAUCCAGCAAUGCCGCGUGUGUGAAGAAGGCCUUCGGGUUGUAAAGCACUUUUGUCCGGAAAGAAAUGGCUCUGGUUAAUACCUGGGGUCGAUGACGGUACCGGAAGAAUAAGGACCGGCUAACUACGUGCCAGCAGCCGCCGUAA
rnacentral:rRNA from 1 species